rnacentral:rRNA from 1 species
GACGAACGCUGGCGGCGUGCCUAACACAUGCAAGUCGAACGGAAAGGCCCUGCUCUUGUGCGGUGCUCGAGUGGCGAACGCGUGAGUAAAACGCGAGUAACCUGCCCUUGUCUUUGGGAUAACUUCAGGAAACUGGGGCUAAUAUCGGAUAGGAGCUCCUGCAGCAUGGUGGGGGUUGGAAAGUUUCGGCGGUUGGGGAUGGACUAGCGGCUUAUCAGCUUGUUGGUGGGGUAGUGGCUUACAAAGGUUUUGACGGGUAGCCGGCCUGAGAGGGUGACCGGCCACAUUGGGACUGAGGGACGGACCAGACUCCUACGUGAGGCAGCAGUGGGAAGUAUUGCACAGUGGGCGGAAGCCUGAUGCGGCGACGCCGCGUGCGGGAUGACGGCCUUCGGGUUGUGAACCGCUUUCGCCUGUGACGAAGCGUGAGUGACGGUAAUGAGUAAAGAAGCACCGGCUAACUACGUG